ensembl:lincRNA Gm13850 predicted gene 13850
GAGAUCUGCUGAUGGACCUGCCUCCUGCCAGUGCCAGGUAGGGGCCUGGUGACAGCAUCAUGAGGCAAAUAAGAGAGAAAAAGGCUCCACGGAGCAUAACAGGGUCUGACCCAGGAAUCCAGGAGUUCAUAUAGGAGCCCUGCCCUUCCAUUGCUGUGACAGACAGAAUGAACAGGAGCCUAACUUAACAGCCCUCUGAGAGACUCUACCCAGAAGAUGACUGAGACAGAUGGAUAUACCUACAGACAAACAUUGGACGGAGGUUGGGGACCUCCAUGGCAGAGUUAGGGAAGGAGAUGACAACCUCACAGGAAGACCAACAGUGUCAACUAAUCUGGACCUUCUAGGAGUUCACAGAGACAGAGCCACCAAGCAAAGAGCAUACAUAGGCUGGUCUGAGCCCCCUGAUUCCUAUGUAGCACAGGGCUGUCAUAUCUGGCUGCCUCAGUGGGAGAGGAUGUGCCUAAUCUUGCAGGGAUUUGGUGCACAAGGGUGCGUGUGAGAGAGCUACAGGGGGUGUGCUGCCCUCUUAGAGGAGGAGGGGAGGGGAAUGGGGAGGAGCUCUGUGAGGGUAGACCAGGAAGGGGGCAACAUUUGGGAUAUAAGUAAAUAAAUGAAUUUUC